UCAUCUUCCUCAUCCGGCGCUAUCUCCCAGCCUACCCUCAGCGGCCAGGUCAUCGAGAAGCUUUCCCGCACAAACUAUGUGUUGUGGCGCACGCAGAUCAUCCCGCAACUGCGUGGCGCCGGGGUCUUCGGCUACGUCGACGGCACCCUGCCGGAACCGGCCAAACUCCUCGCCACCAAGGACAAGGAUGGCAAGGAGACGUUUGAGCCCAACCCUCUCCACCCGAUCUGGGUCAGGGAGGACCAACAGGUGCUCGGCUACCUGCUGAGUAACCUCUCCAAGGAAGUCCUCAUCACGGUGACCACGGUCACCACAGCGACUGUGCUCUGGACGACUCUGGCGGCCAUGUAA
rnacentral:rRNA from 1 species